rnacentral:rRNA from 1 species
CAAUAGCGUAUAUUUAAGUUGUUGCAGUUAAAAAGCUCGUAGUUGGAUUUCGGGUGGGACGCAGCGGUCUCGCAUUGCGUUUGUACUGCUGCAGCCCUCCUUCUUGCCGGGGGCGGCCUCUCGGACUUCACUGUCUGGGGGUCAGAAUCGGCGAUGUUACUUUGAGUAAAUUAGAGUGUUCAAAGCAAGCUUACGCUCUGAAUAUAAUAGCAUGGGAUAACACGACAGGACUCUGGCCUAUCGUGUUGGUCUAUAGGACCAGAGUAAUGAUUAAGAGGGACAGUCGGGGGCAUUCGUAUUCCGUUGUCAGAGGUGAAAUUCUUGGAUUUACGGAAGACGAACAUCUGCGAAAGCAUCUGCCAAGGAUGUUUNCAUUGA